AUUGAACGCUGGCGGCAGGCCUAACACAUGCAAGUCGAGCGAGCGGCGGACGGGUGAGUAAUGUAUGGGGACUGCCCGUUAGAGGGGGCUAACUACAGGACACGGUAGCUACUCCCACAUACUAUCGGAUAACCCAUAUGGGAUUAGCUAGUAGGUUAGGUAAUGGCUCACCUAGGCGACGAUCCCUAGCUGGUCUGAGAGGAUGAUCAGCCACACUGGGACUGAGACACGGCCCAGACUCCGACGGAGGCAGCAGUGGGGAAUAUUGCACAAUGGGCGAAAGCCUGAUGCAGCCAUGCCGCGUGUAUGAAGAAGGCCCUAGGGUUGUAAAGUACUUUCAGUCGGGAGGCGUUACCAACAGAAGAAGCACCGGCUAACUCCGUGCCAGCAGCCGCGGUAAUAC
rnacentral:rRNA from 1 species